CUUAACACAUGCAAGUCGAACGAGACGAUUUUAGAAGCUUGCUUUUAUUGAGUCGAGUGGCAAACGGGUGAGUAACGCGUAGACAACCUGCCGCAAAGAUGGGGACAACAGUCCGAAAGGACUGCUAAUACCGAAUGUUGUAUCUCCUCCGCAUGGAAGAGAUAUUAAAGAUGGCCUCUACUUGUAAGCUAUCGCUUUGCGAUGGGUCUGCGUCUGAUUAGCUAGUUGGUGGGGCAACGGCCUACCAAGGCGACGAUCAGUAGCCGGUCUGAGAGGAUGAACGGCCACAUUGGGACUGAGAUACGGCCCAGACUCCUACGGGAGGCAGCAGUGGGGAAUAUUGGGCAAUGGGCGCAAGCCUGAUGGAGCAACACCGCGUGAGUGAAGAAGGGUUUCGGCUCGUAAAGCUCUGUUGUUGGAGAAGAACGUGCGUGAGAGUAACUGUUCACGCAGUGACGGUAUCCAACCAGAAAGUCACGGCUAACUACGUG
rnacentral:rRNA from 1 species